rnacentral:rRNA from 1 species
GACGAACGCUGGCGGCGUGCUUAACACAUGCAAGUCGAACGGACCCUUUGGGGUUAGUGGCGAACGGGUGAGUAACACGUGGGUGAUCUGCCCUGCACUUUGGGAUAAACCUGGGAAACUGGGUCUAAUACCGGAUAGGACUACGCACUGCAUGGUGUGUGGUGGAAAGCUUUUGCGGUGUGGGAUGGGCCCGCGGCCUAUCAGCUUGUUGGUGGGGUGAUGGCCUACCAAGGCGACGACGGGUAGCCGGCCUGAGAGGGUGACCGGCCACACUGGGACUGAGAUACGGCCCAGACUCCUACGGGAGGCAGCAGUGGGGAAUAUUGCACAAUGGGCGCAAGCCUGAUGCAGCGACGCCGCGUGAGGGAUGACGGCCUUCGGGUUGUAAACCUCUUUCGCCAGGGACGAAGCGCAAGUGACGGUACCUGGAGAAGAAGGACCGGCCAACUACGUGCCAGCAGCCGCGGUAAUACGUAGGAUCCGAGCGUUGUCCGGAAUUACUGGGCGUAAAGAGCUCGUAGGUGGUUUGUCGCGUUGUUCGUGAAAACUCACAGCUUAACUGUGGGCGUGCGGGCGAUACGGGCAGACUGGAGUACUGCAGGGGAGACUGGAAUUCCUGGUGUAGCGGUGGAAUGCGCAGAUAUCAGGAGGAACACCGGUGGCGAAGGCGGGUCUCUGGGCAGUAACUGACGCUGAGGAGCGAAAGCGUGGGGAGCGAACAGGAUUAGAUACCCUGGUAGUCCACGCCGUAAACGGUGGGUACUAGGUGUGGGUUUCCUUCCUUGGGAUCCGUGCCGUAGCUAACGCAUUAAGUACCCCGCCUGGGGAGUACGGCCGCAAGGCUAAAACUCAAAGGAAUUGACGGGGGCCCGCACAAGCGGCGGAGCAUGUGGAUUAAUUCGAUGCAACGCGAAGAACCUUACCUGGGUUUGACAUGCACAGGACGCCGGCAGAGAUGUCGGUUCCCUUGUGGCCUGUGUGCAGGUGGUGCAUGGCUGUCGUCAGCUCGUGUCGUGAGAUGUUGGGUUAAGUCCCGCAACGAGCGCAACCCUUGUCUCAUGUUGCCAGCACGUUAUGGUGGGGACUCGUGAGAGACUGCCGGGGUCAACUCGGAGGAAGGUGGGGAUGACGUCAAGUCAUCAUGCCCCUUAUGUCCAGGGCUUCACACAUGCUACAAUGGCCGGUACAAAGGGCUGCGAUGCCGUGAGGUGGAGCGAAUCCUUUCAAAGCCGGUCUCAGUUCGGAUCGGGGUCUGCAACUCGACCCCGUGAAGUCGGAGUCGCUAGUAAUCGCAGAUCAGCAACGCUGCGGUGAAUACGUUCCCGGGCCU